rnacentral:tRNA from 1 species
AGGGCAGUGGCUCAAUUGGUAGAGCAUCGGUCUCCAAAGCCGGCGGUUGUAGGUUCGAGUCCUAUCUGCCCUGCCA